GCGCGAAAACUUUACAAUGCGGGCAACCGUGAUAAGGGAACCUCGAGUGCCUGUAUAUGCAGGCUGUCCAGGUGUCUAAAUAACACCUGAAGAAAGGGCCGGGCAAGACCGGUGCCAGCCGCCGCGGUAAUACCGGCGGCUCGAGUGGUGGCCGCUUUUAUUGGGCUUAAAGCGUUCGUAGCUGGGUUAUUAAGUCUCUUGGGAAAUCCGGCGGCUCAACCGUCGGGCGUCUAAGGGAUACUGGUAAUCUUGGAACCGGGAGAGGUGAGGGGUACUUCGGGGGUAGGAGUGAAAUCCUGUAAUCCUCGAGGGACCACCUGUGGCGAAGGCGCCUCACCAGAACGGCUUCGACAGUGAGGGACGAAAGCUGGGGGAGCAAACCGG
rnacentral:rRNA from 2 species